rnacentral:misc_RNA from 1 species
ACAAACUUGGUCAUUUAGAGGAAGUAAAAGUCGUAACAAGGUUUCCGUAGGUGAACCUGCGGAAGGAUCAUUAGAGAAUGACUGAAUGAAACUGGAAGGCUGUGCCAGGCGGCGCAGCGGGUCGCUGGGACUGUAAGCCAGACGGGGGAGACUGACUAGCAGCUAGUCGUCUCCUUCCGACUAACCAUUUACUAACACACACAGUAUAAACACACAAGGACCUCGCCGCAAUGGAUCUCUCGGCUCUUGCAUCGAUGAAGAACGCAGC